CGAGAGUGCAUUGUAGUUGCAUUGCACCGGUUCCAUUAACGUGCAAUAUGACUACAAGGCAAAUCCCG
rnacentral:pre_miRNA from 9 species